rnacentral:rRNA from 1 species
UACGGGGGGGGCAAGCGUUGUUCGGAAUUACUGGGCGUAAAGCGCACGUAGGCGGCUUUGUAAGUUAGAGGUGAAAGCCCGGGGCUCAACUCCGGAACUGCCUUUAAGACUGCAUCGCUUGAAUCCAGGAGAGGUGAGUGGAAUUCCGAGUGUAGAGGUGAAAUUCGUAGAUAUUCGGAAGAACACCAGUGGCGAAGGCGGCUCACUGGACUGGUAUUGACGCUGAGGUGCGAAAGCGUGGGGAGCGAACAGG